GUGAAAAAUAGUCAUAUUGGGGACUAGAGUGGCUCUGUGAUUCAAGGAUCAUGGAUACCACUCCGCGAGACUAAAGGGAGUG
rnacentral:rRNA from 1 species